rnacentral:rRNA from 1 species
AUACGGAGGGGGCAAGCGUUGUUCGGAAUUAUUGGGCGUAAAGGGCACGUAGGCGGUCAAGUAAGUUGGUGGUGAAAGCCCUCGGCUCAACCGAGGAAUUGCCCCCAAAACUGCUAGACUUGAGUCCCGGAGAGGGUGGCGGAAUUCCCAGUGUAGCGGUGAAAUGCGUAGAUAUUGGGAGGAACACCAGUGGCGAAGGCGGUCACCUGGACGGGUACUGACGCUGAGGUGCGAAAGCGUGGGGAGCAAACAGGAUUAGAAACCCGGGUAGUCC